rnacentral:rRNA from 1 species
GACGAACGCUGGCGGCGUGCCUAAUACAUGCAAGUUGAGCGCUGAAGGUUGGUACUUGUACCAACUGGAUGAGCAGCGAACGGGUGAGUAACGCGUGUGGAAUCUGCCUUUGAGCGGGGGACAACAUUGGGAAACGAAUGCUAAUACCGCAUAAAAACUUUAAACACAAGGUUUAAUUUUGAAAUAUGCCAGUGCAUGACUCACAGAUGAUCCCGCGUUGUUUUGGUUGGGUGGUGGGGUAAAGGCUCACCAAGGGGAGGAUACAUAGCCGACCUGAGAGGGUGGGCGGCCACCUUGGGACUGAGACACGCCCCAAUCGCCUACGGGAGGCAGCAGUAGGGCAUCUUCGGCCAUGGACGAAAGUCUGACCGAGCAACGCCGCGGGAGUGAAGAAGGUUGUCGGAUCGUAAAACUCUGUUGGUAGAGAAGAACGUUGGUGAGAGUGGAAAGCUCAUCAAGUGACGGUAACUACCCAGAAAGGGACGGCUAACUACGUG